CUAGGUCACAAUAAUGGCUGCCACCAAAGUCUCAGUCCCUGGGGAAGUCUCACCUCUCACUGAGAUGCCACCAGAGCCCAUCAGGUUUCUGUUCCCAAAGAAUUUCUGGAAACUUGUGACCUGCCAGUUUCAGUCCUGGAGAAAGACAACUGUUGCCAGUGAACUCAAUUUCCUUUCAUAACUUGCUUCUGUCACCUAAAAUCCAAAUUCUUGGACUUGGGUUGGAAAUGAGGCACUGGUAAUCUGAGAAAAAGUUUUCUCAAUGUCUGUUUUAGUAAGAAUGUGGAAGAACCUUAGUUCCAAAUGUUUCCACUCUGGAAAUCACACAGGGCAAUAAGGAAAGUGCAGAAACACCCUGCAUAUGACCAUGAUGGAGCUAAAGGACAAACAGAGCAUCACCACGAAGCCUGCAGAUGCUAACAAACAACAAGCAACACUACCAAAAAGCUCCAUGCACAAAACUGACAACUCGGGUGAAAUGAACCAAUUCUUUGAGAUUCAAAAAGCUACUAAAACUCACUUAAGAUGAAAUAGUUAGCCUGAACUGUCCGAUACUAUUAUAGAUGUUGAAGUUGAGGAAAAAGAGAUCUCCAAUCUCAGAAAGUUUCACUGGCAAAUGUCACUGAGCAUUUAAAGAAAUAGCGCCUAUUCUACAGAAUCUUUCCAGAAAAUCAAAGAGGAAAGAACACCUCCCCAUGCAUUUUAUGAGAUCAACAUUACCCCAAUAUCAACACGAAAGAUGGUACCCAAAAAAGAGAAAAAAGGGAGAAACCUAGAGAUCGAUAUCCUGCAUGAAUAUAGAUGCAAAAAUUCUCCACAAAAUAGUAGCAAACUGAUUCCAGUAAUAUCUAAAAAUAAUAAGUGAGAUUUAUCCUUAGAAUGAAAGACUGGUACCAUAUUUCGAAAGCUUUAAGUGUAAUCAACUAUAUUAACAGUCUAAAGAAAAAAAUAUAUGAUUAUAUCAAUUGAUACAGAAAAAGCAUUUGACAAAAUUAAAUACCUCUUCACAGUAAAAACCUGUAUGUGAGUGUUUAUAGAAUUCUUCACAAUGGCAAAGUACUGGAAACAACCCAAAUGUCUUUCAGCAGGUAAAUGGAUAAAUAAACUCUGGUAUGUACAUGUAUAUAAUGGAAUACUACUCAGCAAUAAAGAGGAACCAACUAUUAUGACAUGCAACAACUUAGAUGAAUCUCAAAGGCAUUAUGCUGAGUGAAAGAAUCCAGUCUCAAGAGUUUACAUACUGUAUGAUUCCAAUAAUAUGACAUUCUCUAAAUGACAAAUUAUGGUGGCAGAGAACAGAUCAAAGUUGCCAGGGGUUAAAGGUGUAGGAGGG
rnacentral:lncRNA from 1 species